rnacentral:rRNA from 1 species
CAUUCAUGGAGAGUUUGAUCCUGGCUCAGGACGAACGCUGGCGGCGUGCCUAAUACAUGCAAGUCGAGCGGAC